rnacentral:lncRNA from 1 species
UUUUAUUAUGUUCUGAUUUAAGCACUACGUGAUUUUAAUCUUUAUGUAUAUUGCUAUCUGUGUGGUUUUACUCUUUUUGUUAUCUAUGUGGUUCUACUCUCUAUACAUCUUGUUAUCAAGUGCAUCGUUCCAUGCCCCCUAUAUUGUAAUGGGCCUUUGUAUGUGUUUACUCAUACAUGUCAUCGCGAGUGCGGGUGUAUUAGGCCCUUUGUAUUCUACUAUACGUUAUUUGUUUCCCUACACACAAUUGUAGCCGGUGGGUUACUGAUCGUCCCUAUAUAAUAAUGUUCUUUAGUUUACAAUGCAACAUAUUGUACUUGUUGUGAUAUCUGUUGCAUGUGAGAGUGUAGCUCAUUAUAUAAUAUAGCAAAGUGCAUCCAUUUUCUAAUUGGUUGUUCUACAAUGUAGCAGAGUG